rnacentral:rRNA from 1 species
AGUCAACGCUGGCGGUAGGCCUAACGCAUGCCAGUCGAACGGCAGCACAGUAAGAGCUUGCUCUUACGGGUGGCGAGUGGCGGACGGGUGAGGAAUACAUCGGAAUCUACUUUUUCGUGGGGGAUAACGUAGGGAAACUUACGCUAAUACCGCAUACGACCUACGGGUGAAAGCAGGGGAUCUUCGGACCUUGCGCGAUUGAAUGAGCCGAUGUCGGAUUAGCUAGUUGGCGGGGUAAAGGCCCACCAAGGCGACGAUCCGUAGCUGGUCUGAGAGGAUGAUCAGCCACACUGGAACUGAGACACGGUCCAGACUCCUACGGGAGGCAGCAGUGGGGAAUAUUGGACAAUGGGCGCAAGCCUGAUCCAGCCAUACCGCGUGGGUGAAGAAGGCCUUCGGGUUGUAAAGCCCUUUUGUUGGGAAAGAAAAGCAGCAGGUUAAUACCCCGCUGUUCUGACGGUACCCAAAGAAUAAGCACCGGCUAACUUCGUG